CCUACGGGAGGCUGCAGUAGGGAAUAUUGCUCAAUGGGGGAAACCCUGAAGCAGCAACGCCGCGUGGAGGAUGACGGUUUUCGGAUUGUAAACUCCUUUUGUUAGAGAAGAUAAUGACGGUAUGUAACGAAUAAGCACCGGCUAACUUCGUGCCAGCAGCCGCGGUCAUACGGCAGGUGCAAGCGUUACUCGGAAUCACUGGGCGUAAAGGGCGCGUAGGCGGGAUAGAAAGUCAGAUGUGAAAUCCUAGGGCUUAACCAUAGAACUGCAUUUGAAACUGUUAUUCUAGAGUAUGGGAGAGGUAGAUGGAAUUCGUGGUGUAGGGGUAAAAUCCGUAGAGAUCACGAAGAAUACUCAUUGCGAAGGCGACCUGCUAGAACAUGACUGACGCUGAUGCGCGAAAGCGUGGGGAGCAAACAGGAUUAGAUACCCGAGUAGUC
rnacentral:rRNA from 1 species